AGCCUAAACCGCUCGAUUCAUUUCAAAGCGGCACGGCUCCUAAUCCCAUGGAAGAUUCUGAACCCCACGUUCAGCGCUCUUCCAUGGGUAUAUCUCCGAAAGGAGGUAUGGAGCCGCAAGGCUCU
rnacentral:sRNA from 1 species